CCUGAGAAACCCAAAAGAUCGAAUGGGAGAUUUCACGUCAGCGCGCUGGCUUCCGUGCGGUUCGCGAUGGCCGGGACCUCGGUCUCGCGUCACGCGUCCGCUGCGGCAUGUCCGGCUACGUCGGCGUGCACUUCUCCCCUAGUAGGACGUCGCGACCCGUUGGGUGUCGGACCGAUGGCCGUUUGGUCGCCUGUCUCGUCGCGUUCACGCGUGCACUGGGCAGACCGAAAUGGUCGAGCGUCCGGCUGCCCGGCGGUAUAGAACGCUAUUGAACGGUAAUGGGCCGCAUUAAGUGCGUCCAGGCUCGUCGGCAGGCUCGUCUCGCCCGGAUUUACGGACCUAGCGCCGUUGCCGGGUGCUUGGCGUGGCCGUUAGUCGACGAUGUCCUCGGACUGGCUCUAAAAUUCGAAAGGAUUACCGGUCGGCGACGCUACUGCUUUGGGUACUUUCAGGACCCGUC
rnacentral:rRNA from 1 species